UUUAGGAUGCGCACAUUGUGCACUCCUCCUGCUUCCCGGAUGAGACCUCGUGCUGAGCCAUUAUAUCUGACACUCGGCAUCGCCGGCGUCAACAUCUGGAGAUAAGGCUUCCUCUAUCCUCCUAAACUCAUCGCUCACUCUGAAAAACUGCUACAAGUCUUCUGGGAGCUCACUGAGGAGAUACAGUUACAGCUGCCCAUAGAAGUCUAGGAAAAGGGGAGGGGAAGUAAGCUGCAGAGUGAGAUUCACAAAGAAGGUCUGAUGUCUUCAUAGCAGUAGAGUGGUCAGAGCCAGUCCUGGUUGUCACUUAUUUGCCCCCUAUCCUCUUCUUUAUAGGACAGAUCAUCAGGAAGAUCUAAUAGGUUAUUCCUGAAUCAUCAUCCCAUAAGGAAUACACCCCAGGGUGCUAGUGGUUGGCUCCAAAGUCACCUUGAGCAGAAAGCAGAUCAGGAGCCUUCUUGAUAAUACUUCAUCUUGCAAGGAUCCCGCAGUCCAAGAAAAACACGACUGAAGCUAAGAAAACUGGAGGAACAAGCAUUGUGUGAGCUGGUAACAUUGUUAAAUAGGAUCGAUGACCAGAGGCAUCUAAUAACCACUAGGUGUCGCCAUAGCUCUGCAACUGUUUAGCACUUUUUAUGGUCUUGCUCUGUUAUAGACUAUCUGG